GACGAACGCUGGCGGCGUGCCUAAUACAUGCAAGUUGAGCGCUGAAGGUUGGUACUUGUACCAACUUGAUGAGCAGCGAACGGGUGAGUAACGCGUGGGGAAUCUGCCUUUGAGCGGGGGACAACAUUUGGAAACGAAUGCUAAUACCGCAUAAAAACUUUAAACACAAGUUUUAAGUUUGAAAGAUGCAAUUGCAUCACUCAAAGAUGAUCCCGCGUUGUAUUAGCUAGUUGGUGAGGUAAAGGCUCACCAAGGCGAUGAUACAUAGCCGACCUGAGAGGGUGAUCGGCGACAUUGGGACUGAGACACGGCCCAAACUCCUGCGGGAGGCAGCAGUAGGGUAUCUUCGGCAAUGGACGGAAGUCUGACCGAGCAGCGCCGCGUGAGUGAAGAAGGUUUUCAGAUCGUAAAACUCUGUUGGUAGAGAAGAACGUUGGUGGGAGUGGAAAGAUCAUCAAGUGACGGUAACUACCCAGAAAGGGACGGCUAACUACGU
rnacentral:rRNA from 1 species